UACGUAGGGGGCAAGCGUUGUCCGGAUUUAUUGGGCGUAAAGAGCGUGUAGGCGGCCAGAUAGGUCCGCUGUGAAAACUCGAGGCUCAACCUCGAGACGCCGAUGGAAACCAUCUGGCUAGAGUCCGGAAGAGGAGAGUGGAAUUCCCGGUGUAGCGGUGAAAUGCGCAGAUAUCGGGAAGAACACCCGUGGCUAAGGCGGCUCUCUAGUACGGUACUGACGCUGAGACGCGAAAGCGUGGGGAGCGAACAGG
rnacentral:rRNA from 1 species